GCGCUCCUCAUAUCCCAGAUGGGGCGGCGGGGCAGAGGCGCUCCCCACAUCUCAGACGAUGGGCGGCCGGGCAGAGACGCUCCUCACUUCCUAGAUGUGAUGGCGGCCGGGAAGAGGCGCUCCUCACUUCCUAGAUGGGAUGGCGGCCGGGCGGAGACGCUCCUCACUUUCCAGACUGGGCAGCCAGGCAGAGGGGCUCCUCACAUCCCAGACGAUGGGCGGCCAGGCAGAGGCUGCAAUCUCGGCACUUUGGGAGGCCAAGGCAGGCGGCUGGGAGGUGUAGGUUGUAGUGAGCCGAGAUCACGCCACUGCACUCCAGC
rnacentral:lncRNA from 1 species